GACGAACGCUGGCGGCGUGCUUAACACAUGCAAGUCGAACGGUGAAGCCCUUCGGGGUGGAUCAGUGGCGAACGGGUGAGUAACACGUGAGCAACCUGCCCCUGGCCCUGGGACAACCACUGGAAACGGUGGCUAAUACCGGAUACGACCAGCCUCGGCAUCGAGUGUGGGUGGAAAGUUUUUCGGCUGGGGAUGGGCUCGCGGCCUAUCAGCUUGUUGGUGAGGUGAAGGCUGACCAAGGCGACGACGGGUAGCCGGCCUGAGAGGGCGACCGGCCACACUGGGACUGAGACACGGCCCAGACUCCUACGGGAGGCAGCAGUGGGGAAUAUUGCACAAUGGGCGAAAGCCUGAUGCAGCGACGCCGCGUGCGGGAUGACGGCCUUCGGGUUGUAAACCUCUUUCAGCUCCGAAGAAGCGAAAGUGACGGUAGGGGCAGAAGAAGCACCGGCUAACUACGUG
rnacentral:rRNA from 1 species